UUUAGAAACCAUAGCGUCAUAUGACCUUUGGAUAUGAUAUGCAUUCUUUGGAUUACCAUGUUCUCAUAAUGAUAUUAAUGUCCUAGAACAUUCUUCUGUUUUUAGAGAGCUCGCUGAAGGACAUACUCCGAAGCGUUGGUGGAAGAAG